rnacentral:rRNA from 1 species
CAAUAGCCUAACGGCUGAACCAGCAACUUGGAGGAAUGUAUAGCGAUAGCUAAUUGCAUCAAAAAUAUGAUGCAAGAUCGAUUUAUUGAAUAAAAUUCUGGGUAGAAUUAUGAUUAUGACAUUGUCUACCCAUGUGUCUUGACCAAAUUACGUGCCAGCAGUCGCGGUAAUACGUAGAAGACUAGUGUUAUUCAUCUUUAAUAGGUUUAAAGGGUACCUAGACGGUAAAUCAAGCCCUAGACGGGACUAAUUUGCUAGAGUUACUUGUGAGGGGGUUUUAAAGUACUAAUGGUGUAGAGAUGAAAUUUUGUAAUACCAUUUUUCGAAAGAAAAGUAAUGGCACAGGUAUAGGCGAAAGCAUCCCCUUAUGUGAUAACUGACGUUGAAGGACGAAGGCUUUGAGUCGCGAACAGGAUUAGAUACCCUGGUAGUCAAAGCAGAAAAUAAUGAGUGUCAUAGAUUAGAUAUUAAAGUUUAUUCUAUAAAUGAAAGUGUAAGCACUCCACCUCAAGAGUAAUUUGGCAACAUUGGAACUGAAAUCAUUAGACCGUUUCUGAAACCAGUAGUGAAGUAUGUUGUUUAAUUUGAUAAUCCGCAAAAAACCUUACCACAAUUUGAAUAUUUAUAUCGUUGAUAUAAUUACAAGCGUUGCACGGCUGUCUUCAGUUAAUGUCGUGAGAUUUUGGUUAGAUCCAUUAAAUUAACGCAAGCCCUUACUUUAUUUUAAAAUAAAGUCGUUCCCCACUAGAUUGGAUAAGAUAACAGGGAUUAAGACAAGUCAUCAUGGCCUGAAUAUUGUGGCUAU